rnacentral:rRNA from 1 species
UACGUAGGGUGCAAGCGUUAAUCGGAAUUACUGGGCGUAAAGCGUGCGCAGGCGGCUGUGCAAGACAGAUGUGAAAUCCCCGGGCUCAACCUGGGAAUUGCAUUUGUGACUGUACGGCUAGAGUGUGUCAGAGGGGGGGUAGAAUUCCACGUGUAACAGUGAAAUGCGUAGAGAUGUGGAGGAAUACCGAUGGCGAAGGCAGCCCCCUGGGAUAACACUGACGCUCCAUGGCACGAAAGCGUGGGGAGCAAACAGG